rnacentral:rRNA from 1 species
CAGAGGUCUCAAGCGUUGUUCGGAUUCAUUGGGCGUAAAGGGUGCGUAGGUGGCGCCGUAAGUCAGGUGUGAAAUCUCGGGGCUCAACCCCGUAACUGCACUUGAUACUGCGGUGCUCGAGUACUGGAGAGGAGAUUGGAAUUUACGGUGUAGCAGUGAAAUGCGUAGAUAUCGUAAGGAAGACCAGUGGCGAAGGCGAAUCUCUGGACAGUUACUGACACUGAGGCACGAAGGCCAGGGGAGCAAACGGGAUUAGAUACCCCGGUAGUCCUGGCAGUAAACGGUGCGCGUUUGGUGUGGGAGGAUUCGACCCCUUCUGUGCCGGAGCUAACGCGUUAAACGCGCCGCCUGGGGAGUACGGUCGCAAGAUUA